UAGGGAAUCUUCCGCAAUGGACGCAAGUCUGACGGAGCAACGCCGCGUGAGUGAAGAAGGAUUUCGGUUCGUAAAACUCUGUUGUUAGAGAAGAACAGCGCAUAGAGUAACUGUUAUGCGUGUGACGGUAUCUAACCAGAAAGCCACGGCUAACUACGUGCCAGCAGCCGCGGUAAUACGUAGGUGGCAAGCGUUGUCCGGAUUUAUUGGGCGUAAAGCGAGCGCAGGCGGUCAAUUAAGUCUGAUGUGAAAGCCCCCGGCUCAACCGGGGAGGGUCAUUGGAAACUGGUUGACUUGAGUGCAGAAGAGGAGAGUGGAAUUCCAUGUGUAGCGGUGAAAUGCGUAGAUAUAUGGAGGAACACCGGUGGCGAAAGCGGCUCUCUGGUCUGUAACUGACGCUGAGGCUCGAAAGCGUGGGGAGCGAACAUG
rnacentral:rRNA from 1 species